GAUCGGUUAGGCCCCCUGGGCUGGGAGUCGGCCCCUCACUCGGGGUGUUCACGCCGGUGCUCACGGAGUUGGUGGAGAUGCCACGUUAGCCGAGUGCUGCGGUGUGAACGCACACGAGCCUCCUUGUGAGGCAGUGAUAGUGUCCAAGACCAUCCCAUCUUGGAGCACAGCUUUCUCCUCUGGAGAGGUGUCCGCAUCCCGUGAGGACAGGCUUUGUCAGCGUUCACUGCAGGCUUGCUGGGUGAAUAACGUCCCCCAGGCCCAUGCGGAUAGGAACGAUGUUAUGAUUGGAACUGGAGUGCCAGACCCAGGGAUCACACCAAGUAAAUCGUGUAUUCAGUCAGCAUUCGCUCAUAACAAUCUAAGCUACAGCAUCUGCAACUAGAAAAGACAACUCAUAUUUACUGAGCAGCUGCUAUAUCCAAGUGCUUUACAUGUGUAAUCUCAGUUAUCAGUACAUGACCAUUAUGGAACUACUGCCUCCAUUUUCUGGGAAACAACAUUGAAACUCAAAGAGAAUGAGUUAAGCAUCUGUGGGCGGCAGCGACUUUAACUGACACCUCCAACCUGCCUUUUUAAGAUAAAGACUUUUCUCCCUUACAUUUAAUAUUUGAGCUUUCAAGAGAACAAAUUGGCUCUGUAGUUUCUGGUGUAGAAAAUCUGAUUUGGCCAAACAAAACAUUAAGACAGAGGAGAUGCAGCUGCUGCUUGCACUGGACUACAGACUCUUGUAAACCUGAAUAAAUGUGAAUCUACUCUGGGGAUGCAGAUCCACUUUUGGUCAAGAGGAAAACUGAAGAGUAUAAGCACAUAAGGCUAAAGAACUGGCCAUGAGUUGUGGUUAUAUCAACAUGGUGCACACCAAGAUCUCGUAGCAGCCAGAGAGAAAAGGCUGAGGAAUCAGCAUCACAAUGACUCUCUCAAAUUUCUCAUGUUCUUUUGGUCAAAGCAGAAGCUCUGGACAUAAUCCUCAUCAGGCUUCUGUACCGGUUUUGAUUUGGCACGGCUCAAUAAUGGAAUGGAGUGUAUCCAACAUGUGAUGAUUACACAGUCACAAAAGCUAUAUAUUUAAGGCCAUGUUAAAAGGCCCCAUGUCAAAACAGCCAAGACAGAAAGUCAUAUACUUUUUUUAAGACCUGUUUUAAUUUUUUAAAAAAUUUAAGAGGUAACCUAUGUACAUAUUUAAAAUAUUAAAAUGUAUUUUUAAAGUACAGGCAGAAGUCUCCUACCCUUGAUGUUUGCUCAGUUUCCAUUUUUCCCCCAAAAGUAACUCUUGAAACUAAUUUGCUGUUCAUUCUUAUAAAUAUUUUGGUAUGUGUAAGCCAAAGAGAGGUAUUUUUUUUUUCUUUCUUACACAAAAUAGCAUACUCUAGGCUUUUUUUCUGUAUACCCUGAUUAUCUUUUUAUUAGUAUAUCUUGCUGGUGUUUCCCUAUCAGUACUGAAAGCUUUCUCUUUCAGUAAUUCACAUCAUUCUCAGGGUGGAUAAGGCAAGAACACAGGAUUUGGCAUCAGAUAGACCAAAAUUCAUAACUUGCUAUCUAUGUGCCUUAGGUGGGUUUCUUGACUUUGUAAAAUAGGGGCAAAAAAAUUCAGUUUUUAUGAAGCCUAAAUAUGUGUGGGCACCACAUACCUGAUUUCAAACUAUACUAUAAAGCUUAGGAAUCAAAACAGUAUUGUAUUAGCAUUAAAACAGAUACAUAGAUCAAUGAAACAUAAUAGAGAAUAGAGAGCCUGAAAUAAACACAUGCAUGAUCAAUUAGUUUAUGACAAAGGAGCCAAGAAUAUAUUAUGGUGGAAGGAUGGUCUCUUUAAUAAAUAGUACUGGGAAAACAUACAGCCACAUGUCAAAGAAUGAAACUGGACCACUUUCUUUCACCACACAUAGGAAUCAAUUCAAAGUGAAUUAAAGACUUGAACAUAAGACCUGAAACUAUAAAACUCUGAGAAGAAAACAUGGUGGGUAAGCCCCUUGACAUUGGUCUUGGCAGUGAUUUUUUUUGGAUUUGAGGUCAAAAGCAAAGGCAACAAAUGCAAAAUAAACAAGAAGGAUUACAUCAAGCUAAAAUGCUUCUUCACAACAAAGGAAGCCAUAAACGCAAUGAAAAAGCAUUCUGUGGAAUAAGAAAAUAUUUGCAAACCAUAUAUCUGACAAAGUGUUGAUACCUAAAAUAUAUUUAAAAAACUCAUACAACUUAAUAGCAAACAAUCUGACUAAAAACUGAACAAAGGAACUAAAUAGGCUUUUUUUUGUUUUUUUGAAGAAAAAAUACAGAUG